AUGCAUGUCUAAGUACAAACUCUAGCACAGUGAAACUGCGAAUGGCUCAUUAGAUCAGUUAUGGUUCCUUAGACGAUACAAUCCUACUUGGAUAACUGUGGUAAUUCUAGAGCUAAUACAUGCACUCUAGCUCCGACCCUUUCGCGAGGGGAAGAGCGCGUUUAUCAGUUCGAAGCCAGCCGGGUUGCAAAACUCGACUCUUUGGUGACUCUGGAUAACUCUUGCGGAUCGCACGGUCUCGAACCGGCGACGCGUCUAUCAAGUGUCUGCCCUAUCAGACUGUCGAUGGUAAGUGCUAUGCUUACCAUGGUGAUAACGGGUAACGGGGAAUCAGGGUUCGAUUCCGGAGAGGGAGCAUGAGAAACGGCUACCACA
rnacentral:rRNA from 1 species